GAUGAACGCUGGCGGCGUGCCUAAUACAUGCCAGUCGAACGAACAGACGAGGAGCUUGCUCCUCUGACGUUAGCGGCGGACGGGUGAGUAACACGUGGAUAACCUACCUAUAAGACUGGGAUAACUUCGGGAAACCGGAGCUAAUACCGGAUAAUAUAUUGAACCGCAUGGUUCAAUAGUGAAAGACGGUUUUGCUGUCACUUAUAGAUGGAUCCGCGCCGCAUUAGCUAGUUGGUAAGGUAACGGCUUACCAAGGCAACGAUGCGUAGCCGACCUGAGAGGGUGAUCGGCCACACUGGAACUGAGACACGGUCCAGACUCCUACGGGAGGCAGCAGUAGGGAAUCUUCCGCAAUGGGCGAAAGCCUGACGGAGCAACGCCGCGUGAGUGAUGAAGGUCUUCGGAUCGUAAAACUCUGUUAUUAGGGAAGAACAAAUGUGUAAGUAACUAUGCACGUCUUGACGGUACCUAAUCAGAAAGCCACGGCUAACUACGUG
rnacentral:rRNA from 1 species